UUAAAGACUAUGAAAAGGAAAGUUAAAGAUAUUUUUUUAAAGAGAGCCGAUGGGUGGUGUAAAUCGGUAAAAAUGCUUUAUUUCCGCCUUGGAGUCGUUGACGAAGAGUCAAACGGUUUUAACCGUUAAAUUUUCUAAAGGGUUGCAUAUUUUGGGAAACUGAAAUAGGGUGGCAACGCGGUAAAUUCCGCCCCUUGC
rnacentral:ncRNA from 2 species